AGAAUCUGGAAUUUGGAAGUUCGGGCCAGGGAAAGUUCCCUGGAAACUCCUCUGGUAAAACUCCGCGCGCAGGUGGAUGCAAUAAAAGCCGUGGUAGUUCUCGAGUCUCACAGUUCAGUUGCAAGUCUGGGCAUAUCUUUGAGAAAGCACCAUAAGAAGACACCUUGUGUCACUUUUAAGAGUUUACAGAGGACCUUUGGACUCCGUAUUCUACAUUUUGUGGUUAAUUGUCUUGGGAAUCUACCUUCAGGUGCAAUAAAACCUAGUUUAAAAGCUGCGUUUGAUGACGCUGUAGUCGCAUUGUUGACAUUCAUCGCAUUAACAGACGACGAGGCGAAAUCAGUCAGACAAAAUCAAGAUGUUUUGUGAAACUUCUCUGUGGAACAUGGGAUGUGACAAGCAUCUUCAGACAAACCGGGAUCCGAUAUGCCUGGUGGAAAUCUCAUCAGGAAGAUCUGUGUCCCUUGAGGACAUGAGUGGAGAAGGAUGGAUAUCUGAAUACCAGACGCCAUCCAAACAGGAUCACAGGAUCAUCAGUAAACCACAUACGACAGCCAUAAGCCGAAUCUUCCACUCUGCAAAGUCCUGGACCUUCCUCCAGUUCAAGACAUCCACACCAGCAUGACGGGAUAAGUGACCCUGCUGUGUGAAAAAGACUUUUAAAAAGGACUUGCACGUUGAAUAUGUUAAUUUAUCAUAUAGUAUGCUUUUUUUUUUAUUUAGAAGUAAAUAAAAUUAAACAUGAACUCUAUUUAUUAAGGAGAAAUUAGAUCCUUGUUUCUUUAGGUAUGUAAUGUCAGGCAUCUGUUGUUCCUUUGAAAUUCCACCAGAGGGCAGGGAUGAGUCAUUGCCACUGUAAUGAAACAUAUGUGUUGACAAGGGGUGCGUCUCAAUCAGCUUCCUAGUUCAGUAGUCAGGGCACUGAUCAUGGAGUUGGCCAUUUUAAGGGCUGUCUCGAUCACAAAAUCCUUCUAGUGCACUGAAAUGUUUGCUCCAUUAAAAAGUCCCACAAUGCACUGUGAAAACCAGGGAGCGUUAAUGCUCACUAUGUUCCCUUAACGGAAGUUCUGAAGCACGGAACAUAAAUCACGUGGGCCAACUCGCCACACAUAAUGACAACCAAGAUUUUGUUUCAUAUUUCUGUAGGGUGAGCUGGUCAGAUUGGACUAUUUUGUGAAGUAAUUAAAUAUUAAGUAAACCUCAAUCUCAAUCAAGUUCAGCUAAAAGUUUAAUUGUUGUUAUAUAUAAUUAUGCAGGCUACAUGAAUAUUCUUAACUGUCACUUUACAGUAUGGAAGAUGUGAUUUCUCUAUUUGCAUUGUGUGUGUAUGUUUACAGCUACAUUCAAAAUGCACUAAAAGUGGCUUUCAAGAUGUGUAUUUGUAUAUAAUCUAUGGUUUAUUAAUAAAAUGUUCAAAUUGUA